rnacentral:rRNA from 1 species
GACGAACGCUGGCGGCGUGCUUAACACAUGCAAGUCGAACGGAAAGGCCCUGCUUUUGUGGGGUGCUCGAGUGGCGAACGGGUGAGUAACACGUGAGUAACCUGCCCUUGACUUUGGGAUAACUUCAGGAAACUGGGGCUAAUACCGGAUAGGAGCUCCUGCUGCAUGGUGGGGGUUGGAAAGUUUCGGCGGUUGGGGAUGGACUCGCGGCUUAUCAGCUUGUUGGUGGGGUAGUGGCUUACCAAGGCUUUGACGGGUAGCCGGCCUGAGAGGGUGACCGGCCACAUUGGGACUGAGAUACGGCCCAGACUCCUACGGGAGGCAGCAGUGGGGAAUAUUGCACAAUGGGCGGAAGCCUGAUGCAGCAACGCCGCGUGCGGGAUGACGGCCUUCGGGUUGUAAACCGCUUUCGCCUGUGACGAAGCGUGAGUGACGGUAAUGGGUAAAGAAGCACCGGCUAACUACGUGCCAGCAGCCGCGGUGAUACGUAGGGUGCGAGCGUUGUCCGGAUUUAUUGGGCGUAAAGGGCUCGUAGGUCGUUGAUCGCGUCGGAAGUGUAAUCUUGGGGCUUAACCCUGAGCGUGCUUUCGAUACGGGUUGACUUGAGGAAGGUAGGGGAGAAUGGAAUUCCUGGUGGAGCGGUGGAAUGCGCAGAUAUCAGGAGGAACACCAGUGGCGAAGGCGGUUCUCUGGGCCUUUCCUGACGCUGAGGAGCGAAAGCGUGGGGAGCGAACAGGCUUAGAUACCCUGGUAGUCCACGCUGUAAACGGUGGGUACUAGGUGUGGGGUCCAUUCCACGGGUUCCGUGCCGUAGCUAACGCUUUAAGUACCCCGCCUGGGGAGUACGGCCGCAAGGCUAAAACUCAAAGGAAUUGACGGGGCCCCGCACAAGCGGCGGAGCAUGCGGAUUAAUUCGAUGCAACGCGUAGAACCUUACCUGGGUUUGACAUGGAUCGGGAGUGCUCAGAGAUGGGUGUGCCUCUUUUUGGGGUCGGUUCACAGGUGGUGCAUGGCUGUCGUCAGCUCGUGUCGUGAGAUGUUGGGUUAAGUCCCGCAACGAGCGCAACCCUUGUUCACUGUUGCCAGCACGUUAUGGUGGGGACUCAGUGGAGACCGCCGGGGUCAACUCGGAGGAAGGUGGGGAUGACGUCAAGUCAUCAUGCCCCUUAUGUCCAGGGCUUCACGCAUGCUACAAUGGCUGGUACAGAGAGUGGCGAGCCUGUAAGGGUGAGCGAAUCUCGGAAAGCCGGUCUCAGUUCGGAUUGGGGUCUGCAACUCGACCUCAUGAAGUCGGAGUCGCUAGUAAUCGCAGAUCAGCAACGCUGCGGUGAAUACGUUCCCGGG